GAUGAACGCUGGCGGCGUGCCUAAUACAUGCAAGUCGAGCGAACGGACGAGAAGCUUGCUUCUCUGAUGUUAGUGGCGGACGGGUGAGUAACACGUGGAUAACCUACCUAUAAGACUGGGAUAACUUCGGGAAACCGGAGCUAAUACCGGAUAAUAUUUUGAACCGCAUGGUUCAAAAGUGAAAGACGGUCUUGCUGUCACUUAUAGAUGGAUCCGCGCUGCAUUAGCUAGUUGGUAAGGUAACGGCUUACCAAGGCAACGAUGCAUAGCCGACCUGAGAGGGUGAUCGGCCACACUGGAACUGAGACACGGUCCAGACUCCUACGGGAGGCAGCAGUAGGGAAUCUUCCGCAAUGGGCGAAAGCCUGACGGAGCAACGCCGCGUGAGUGAUGAAGGUCUUCGGAUCGUAAAACUCUGUUAUUAGGGAAGAACAUAUGUGUAAGUAACUGUGCACAUCUUGACGGUACCUAAUCAGAAAGCCACGGCUAACUACGCG
rnacentral:rRNA from 1 species